UACGAAGGGAGCUAGCGUUGUUCGGAAUUACUGGGCUUAAAGGGUGCGUAGGCGGCGCGGUAAGUCGGGUGUGAAAUCUCGGAGCUUAACUCCGAAACUGCAUUCGAUACUGCCGUGCUUGAGGACUGGAGAGGAGACUGGAAUUUACGGUGUAGCGGUGAAAUGCGUAGAUAUCGUAAGGAAGACCAGUGGCGAAGGCGGGUCUCUGGACAGUUCCUGACGCUGAGGCACGAAGGUCAGGGGAGCAAACGGG
rnacentral:rRNA from 1 species